rnacentral:rRNA from 1 species
UUAAGAAACAAAGAGCGCACGGUGGAUGCCUUGGCACUAAUAGGCGAAGAAGGACGCGACUAACAGCGAAAUGCUACGGGGAGCAGUAAGUACGCAGAGAUCCGUAGAUGUCCGAAUGGGGGAACCCACUAGUUUGAAGAACUAGUAUCAUAUAGUGAAUACAUAGCUAUAUGAGGCAAACCUGGAGAAUUGAAACAUCUUAGUACCCAGAGGAAAAGAAAAUAAAUAAUGAUUUCCUAAGUAGAGGCGAUUGAAAGGGGAAGAGCCCAGCACCAUCAAGAGUUACAAAAUCUUUUUAUAGUAGAAUUGUAUUGGAAAAGCAAGUCAAAGAAGGUGAAAGCCCUGUAUACGAAAUAAAGAGAUCUCGGUGUGAGAGUAGGGCGGAGCACGUGAAAUUCUGUCUGAAUAUGCGAGGACCAUCUCGUAAGGCUAAAUACUCAUUAGUGACCGAUAGUGAACAGUACUGUGAAGGAAAGGUGAAAAGAACCCCUGGCGGGGAGUGAAAAGAACCUGAAACCGUGUGCUUACAAACAGUUAGAGCCCAUCAAUGGGUGAUAGCGUGCCUUUUGUAGAAUGAGCCGGCGAGUUACGUUAAUUUGCAAGGUUAAGCUUUUAGGAGUGGAGCCGUAGCGAAAGCAAGUCUUAAUAGGGCGAAUAAGUAGAUUGACGUAUACCCGAAACCGGGUGAUCUAGCCAUGAGCAGGUUGAAGCUUGGGUAAAACCAGGUGGAGGACCGAACCAGGGUCUGUUGAAAAAGACUUGGAUGACUUGUGGCUAGGGGUGAAAUUCCAAUCGAACCCGGAGAUAGCUGGUUCUCCCCGAAAUAGCUUUAGGGCUAGCGUUGUGAGAAGAGUUAUACGAAGGUAGAGCACUGAAUGGGUGAGGGCCGCACCUCGCGGUACCAAUCUCAAUCAAACUCCGAAUGUCGUAUAAUAUGCGCAGCAGUAAGACUAUGGGUGAUAAGGUCCAUGGUCAAAAGGGAAACAGCCCAGACCGCCAGUUAAGGUCCCAAAAUUAUGCUAAGUGGGAAAGGAGGUGGAGUCGCUUAAACAACUAGGAGGUUGGCUCAGAAGCAGCCAUCCUUUAAAGAGUGCGUAAUAGCUCACUAGUCGAGUGAUUCUGCGCCGAAAAUGUAUCGGGGCUAAGCAUAAUACCGAAGCUGCGGGAUUAGAUGAAGAAUCUAAUCGGUAGGGGAGCGUACUAAGUGCGUAGAAGGUUGACCGGAAGGGCAGCUGGAGCGCUUAGCAGUGAGUAUGCCGGUGUGAGUAGCGAUAAGAUGGGUGAGAAUCCCAUCCGUCGAAAGCCUAAGGUUUCCAGGGGUAAGGCUCGUCCUCCCUGGGUAAGUCGGGUCCUAAGGUGAGGCUGAGAAGCGUAGCUGAUGGACAUCAGGUUGAUAUUCCUGAACCACCAUAAAACUGAAGGAAUGACGGAGGAGGCUAAUCAGAGCUGAUUAAUGGAUUUCAGUUUAAGUACAAAGAGGGUUACGUAGGCAAAUCCGCGUAGCAAAACCUUGAAGUAUGAUGACGUAAGUCUGGUGAAGCCACACUUCCAAGAAAAGUUUCUAGGUGUAUUUUAUGGUGCCCGUACCGUAAACGGACACACGUAGGCGAGGAGAGAAUCCAAAGACGCGCGAGAUAAUUCUUGUUAAGGAACUCUGCAAAAUUACUCUGUAACUUCGGAAUAAAGAGGGCUCCCGUGAGGGAGACGCAGAAAAUAGGCCCAAGCGACUGUUUAACAAAAACAUAGGUUUCUGCUAAAGCGUAAGCUGAUGUAUAGGAGCUGACGCCUGCCCAGUGCUGGAAGGUUAAGAGGAGAAGUUAGUCGCAAGGCGAAGCUUUGAAUUGAAGCCCCAGUAAACGGCGGCCGUAACUAUAACGGUCCUAAGGUAGCGAAAUUCCUUGUCAGGUAAGUUCUGACCCGCACGAAAGGCGUAACGAUUUGGGCGCUGUCUCAACAAGAAACUCGGUGAAAUCAUAGUACCUGUGAAGAUGCAGGUUACCCGCGAUCAGACGGAAAGACCCCAUGGAGCUUCACUGCAACUUAAUAUUGAUAUUGGGUGUGUGAUGUACAGGAUAGGUGGGAGACAAAGAAGCGAGUACGCUAGUAUUCGUGGAGUCAACCUUGGGAUACCACCCCUCGCACAUUUAGUAUCUAACUAGUUUCCAUAAGCUGGGAAUAGAACAGUGUUAGGUGGGCAGUUUGACUGGGGCGGUCGCCUCCCAAAGAGUAA